UACAGAGGUGGCGAGCGUUAUUCGGAAUUAUUGGGCGUGAAGGGCGCGUAGGCGGCUUGACAAGUCCCGGGUGAAAUCCCUCGGCUCAACCGAGGAACUGCCUUGGAAACUGUCUGGCUUGAGGCCGGGAGAGGGUAGUGGAAUUCCCAGUGUAGCGGUGAAAUGCGUAGAUACUGGGAGGAACACCGGUGGCGAAGGCGGCUACCUGGACCGGUUCUGACGCUGAGGCGCGAAAGCGUGGGUAGCAAACAGG
rnacentral:rRNA from 1 species